GAAGGGCGGGGCCGGAAAAACAGAGGCGCCAGGCUGUGACUGCGGCGCUUUGGCCCCGCUUUCAGACACGCAAACUUCACUUUUCUCGCUUCGGUGCAGCACUUGAGAGGCUGAAAUAGAGGAUUGCUUGAGUCCAGGAGUUUCAGACCAGUGAAGGCUUAUGAAGACCCCAUCAAAAAAAGAAAACAAAUGCCACAUAAACUGUUGCCCUCUACCACACUACCCUGUCUGGGAGCCAGCUAAUUCUAGACUGAAACCUCCACAAACUGUAAGCUAAAUAAACUUUUCCUUCCUUAA